rnacentral:rRNA from 1 species
UGAGUACGAGAUGCUACGGCAUCGAAGCAGUCUAUGUCAUACUUCCAAGAAAAGCUUGCACUGUCAGAAACAGAUAAUGCCUGUACCAUAACCGACACAGGUGGGUAGGUAGAGUAUACUAAGGGGCGCGAGAUAACUCUCUCUAAGGAACUCGGCAAAAUGACUCCGUAACUUCGGGAGAAGGAGUGCCUUAUUUUUAAGGUUGCAAUAACAAGAUCCAAGCAACUGUUUACCAAAAACACAGGUCUCCGCUAAGUCGUAAGACGAUGUAUGGGGGCUGACGCCUGCCCAGUGCCAGAAGGUUAAAGAAGUCGGUUAGCAUUCGCGAAGCUGGUAACUGAAGCCCUGGUGAACGGCGGCCGUAACUAUAACGGUCCUAAGGUAGCGAAAUUCCUUGUCGGGUAAGUUCCGACCCGCACGAAAGGCGUAAUGAUUUGGAUACUGUCUCGGAGAGGGGCUCGGUGAAAUAGACUUGUCUGUGAAGAUGCGGACUACCUGCACCUUACAGAAAGACCCUAUGAAGCUUUACUGUAACUUGAAAUUGAAAUUGGACUUUAUUUGCGCAGUAUAGGUGGGAGGCGUUGAAAAUAUUCUUGCGGGAAUAUUGGAGCCAUCAGUGAGAUACCACUCUUGUAAUGUUAGAUUUCUAACUUUAUAUCAUUAUCUGGUUAAAGAACAGUUUCAGGCGGGCAGUUUGACUGGGGCGGUCGCCUCCCAAAUGGUAACGGAGGCGCACAAAGGUUUCCUCUGAACGGGUAGAAAUCGUAUCUAGAGUGUAAAGGCAUAAGGAAGCUUGACUGUGAGACCUACAAGUCGAGCAGGGACGAAAGUCGGUCUUAGUGAUCUGACGGUGCUGAGUGGAAAGGCCGUCACUCAACGGAUAAAAGUUACUCUAGGAUAACAGGCUGAUCUCCCCCAAGAGUUCACAUCGACGGGGAGGUUUGGCACCUCGAUGUCGGCUCAUCGCAUCCUGGGGCGGUAGUACGUCCCAAGGGUUGGGCUGUUCGCCCAUGAAAGCGGUACGCGAGCUGGGUUCAGAACGUCGUGAGACAGUUCGGUCCAUAUCCGGUGUAGGCGUUAGAAUAUUGAGAGGAGCCUUCUUUAGUACGAGAGGACCGAGAAGGACAUACCUCUGGUGUACCAGUUAUCGUGCCAACGGUAAACGCUGGGUAGCUAUGUAUGGAGUGGAUAACCGCUGAAAGCAUCUAAGUGGGAAGCCCACCUCAAGAUAAGUAUUCUCA